UGGGGAAUUUUGGACAAUGGGCGCAAGCCUGAUCCAGCCAUUCCGCGUGCAGGAUGAAGGCCCUCGGGUUGUAAACUGCUUUUGUACGGAACGAAAAGGCUUCCUCUAAUACAGGGAGCUCAUGACGGUACCGUACGAAUAAGCACCGGCUAACUACGUGCCAGCAGCCGCGGUAAUACGUAGGGGCCGAGCGUUGUCCGGAGUUACUGGGCGUAAAGCGUGCGCAGGCGGCGCGUUCUGCCCGGCGUGAAAGCCCCCGGCUCAACCGGGGAACGUCGUCGGGGACGGGCGCACUUGAGGGCGGCAGGGGCUGGUGGAAUUCCCGGUGUAGUGGUGAAAUGCGUAGAGAUCGGGAGGAACACCUGUGGCGAAGGCGGCCAGCUGGGCCGACCCUGACGCUGAGGCACGAAGGCGUGGGGAGCGA
rnacentral:rRNA from 1 species